rnacentral:rRNA from 1 species
AUUGAACGCUGGCGGCAGGCCUAACACAUGCAAGUCGAGCGAGCGGCGGACGGGUGAGUAAUGUAUGGGAAACUGCCUGAUGGAGGGGGAUCACUACUGGAAACGGUAGCUAAUACAGCAUACCAUCCGAUGUUCCCAGAUGGGAUGAGCUAGUAGGUGGGGUAACGGCUCACCUAGGCGACGAUCCCUCGCUGGUCUGAAAGGAGGACCAGCAACACUGGAACUGUGACACGGUCCAGACUCCUACGGGAGGCAGCAGUGGGGAAUAUUGCACAAUGGGCGCAAGCCUGAUGCAGCCAUGCCGCGUGUGUGAAGAAGGCCUUCGGGUUGUAAAGCACGUUCAGCGGGGAGGCGUUACCCGCAGAAGAAGCACCGGCUAACUCCGUGCCAGCCGCCGCGGUAAUUC